CUAGACGGCUUGCUUUAACCAAUGGCAAGUUCGAACGGUAACAGGUGUAGCAAAUACAUGCUGACGAGUGGCGGACGGGUGAGGAAUGCUUGGGAAUCUGCCUGUUAGUGGGGGACAACCCGGGGAAACUCGGGCUAAUACCGCAUACGCUCUACGGAGGAAAGCGGGGGACCGUAAGGCCUCGCGCUAACAGAUGAGCCCAAGUCGGAUUAGCUAGUUGGUGGGGUAAAGGCCUACCAAGGCGACGAUCCGUAGCUGGUCUGAGAGGACGAUCAGCCACACUGGGACUGAGACACGGCCCAGACUCCUACGGGAGGCAGCAGUGGGGGAUAUUGGACAAUGGGGGCAACCCUGAUCCAGCAAUGCCGCGUGUGUGAAGAAGGCCUGCGGGUUGUAAAGCACUUUUGGCAGGGAUGAAAAGCACUGGAUUAAUAACCCAGUGUGUUGACCUAACCUGCAGAAGAAGCACCGGCUAACUCUGUGCCAGCAGCCGCGGUAAUACAGAGGGUGCAAGCGUUAAUCGGAAUUACUGGGCGUAAAGCGCGCGUAGGCGGUCGAGUAAGUCGGAUGUGAAAUCCCCGGGCUUAACCUGGGAAUUGCAUUCGAUACUGCUUGGCUAGAGUGUGGAAGAGGGAAGCGGAAUUUCCGGUGUAGCGGUGAAAUGCGUAGAUAUCGGAAGGAACACCAGUGGCGAAGGCGGCUUCCUGGUCCAACACUGACGCUGAGGCGCGAAAGCGUGGGGAGCGAACAGGAUUAGAUACCCUGGUAGUCCACGCUGUAAACGAUGAGAACUAGAUGUUGGGGGGUAUAACCCCUCAGUGUCGCAGCUAACGCGUUAAGUUCUCCGCCUGGGGAGUACGGCCGCAAGGUUGAAACUCAAAGGAAUUGACGG
rnacentral:rRNA from 1 species